AUUUUAAUUAUUUUUUUUAGUUUUUGGUUAAAAAUCACUCUAAUCUGAUAAUUCAAAAAAAACUGAUUAUAUUAGAGUGAUUUUGCAUUACUUUUUUAACCAAAAUCUAAUUUGAUAAUUAAAAAAACUGCUGUGCAUUCUACCCGUGCCAUCCUAUUCCGUUGCUCCUUUAAAUAAUUAAAAAAUAAUAAUUUAAAUCACAAAAAAAAAAGUGCACAGCAGCAUGCCAUGCCGUUCUGUUUCCACGUGGCGUCUCGUUUGACUCGUCGAAGCCCCCUCGCCUCCGUGCCGUAUCUAUGCCCGUCGUUUUAUCAAGGUCCUUUUCCUUCUCAUUGGUAACAUUUUGAAGUUUCCGCAUUUCACUGUAAAGGCUUGUUUGGUUUCUGCGGAAGAAGUAACCAGAUGAGAAAAUGUUGAACUGAUUACUGCAAUGUCUAUUGUUGUGAGAUCAAAUGGUCUAGAACUACUACCGGAGAGUGGAAUUUGUGCUUUGAUAAGGAGAAUGGCUUACUUUAUGUAGAGGCUGAUCCAUAAGGAGCAGACAAUUGGAAGUUAGAUCCAACCAAUGAACUUCUGCCGGAGGAAGCUAUGGGGUCAUUCUUGCAUAUUAUGUUUGCUUUUGUAUCUCUCAAUAUCUUACUUCUAUCCUUAUAUUUCUCCUUAAUUAUUUGGGGUCUGCAUUUAUCAUCAUAGCCGUAUUGUCUUUAAUUGUGGUUUAUUGAUUAUCAUGGAGCUAUGCUUUUACUUGUACAUUUAAUUAUACAUUUCGGAUUGCAUCAUGUUUCUUUGAUGUUUGAUAUUUGGUUCUAUUGAUGUGACUCAUGGGCUUUUCAUAUAUAUAUAUAUAUGUAUAUAUAUAUAUAUAUAUAGCCUUUGAUUUUUAAUUGAAAAGAAAAUGCUUAUCUGGUCAACCAUUUAGUCCUAACAGAAAUGAGAAGAUAAUGCUAAAAUUUGAUGGUUGUUUCAAGUAUUCUUUGGUUUCAUGGUUAGAAAGUUGUGUUCUAUACUUAAGUGUGUUUACUAUUGCAAAAUAAAAAAUAUAGAACCUUCAACGACUUCUGCAGAAGCUCUGAUGUGAAACUGAACAAACCACUGUUUGUCAUGUGCUGCAUUUGAUUAUCUUGCUCCCUUGUGCUAGCAUUUAAGUAUACUUCCAUCUCAAAUGCAAGUAAAGAUGACUAAGACACUCUGAGUUAUGCAACUACAACUUCCAAAUAUGCUUCAGGGAACAAUUUGGGUGUUUGAUUCCCUGAUGAUGCCAUAUCACAAGCAAUGCCAGAGAAGAUGGACAAGCAUCUUACAUCCACAAGGUUGAUUUCAUUUCAUAUAUUCAUCAUUCUUCUUUUCUUUGCAGGCUGGGAGUGGGUUGAGAUAACAGUUCACUAGCUGACAAAAACUGGGAACCUAAAUUAGACUGGACAAAAGCAGAAGAUGAUAAAGAGCCUAGAGGACUCGUACCAACCUUGUAGAGAACCACAUUUCAAGUAAUAUCAAAGCUUGGAGAUUCAGUGCCUUCCCUGCCAACUUAUCAUACCACAUAAACAUUCUGUAAAUUUCUGGAGACGCAAAGGUGAGAUAAAAAAAAAAUAAAUGGAUUAGCAAGGCAUGUUUGGAAAUCCUGUGUAUCAGGGCCACAGUAGUCAGACUCAGAGACAUAUUACGUGUGAACCCCAAUUUAUUUUUGGAGCUUAACACAAGUGAUUUUGCACUAAAUAGUUUUGUCAGAUCAAUUUGUAUACAUAGAUUGCUUUUAUGUCUAAUAAAUAUGAUUCACGCGUGGUUGUUUGUCACAUUGCCUUAAUUCGACUCCUGAAAACGUUGUCUGUAUGUGGAAAUACCCUAAUUUCAUUUGUUU